ACACAUCACAAAUAGGACAAAACUGCAGACCUUGUCCGAAAAACACAUAUGGUGAGAGAUGUCGAUAUGACUGUUCUUGUGCAGGUUUUGAAAUUUGUGACAACGUUGAAGGCUGUAUCGAAUUUCUACCAACAACUGACUAUUUAGUGUAUGCAACGUCGUAUGACAAAACGUACAAAUGGACCAUAAAUACAAGAGCAGAUUCUGGAAAUGCUAUAACGAGUUCACAUUACGAGGCAAACACAAAAGGAAAAAUCACAGAUUGUAG